UACGUAGGGGGCAAGCGUUGUCCGGAUUUAUUGGGCGUAAAGAGCGUGUAGGCGGUCAGGUAGGUCCGUUGUGAAAACUCGAGGCUCAACCUCGAGACGCCGAUGGAAACCAUCUGACUAGAGUCCGGAAGAGGAGAGUGGAAUUCCUGGUGUAGCGGUGAAAUGCGCAGAUAUCAGGAAGAACACCCGUGGCUAAGGCGGCUCUCUAGUACGGUACUGACGCUGAGACGCGAAAGCGUGGGAAGCGAACAGG
rnacentral:rRNA from 1 species